UACAGAGAGUGCAAGCGUUAAUCGGAAUUACUGGGCGUAAAGCGCGCGUAGGUGGGUGCUUAAGUCGGAUGUGAAAGCCCUGGGCUCAACCUAGGAAUUGCAUUCGAUACUGGCUAUCUAGAGUAUGGUAGAGGGAAGUGGAAUUUCCGGUGUAGCGGUGAAAUGCGUAGAUAUCGGAAAGAACACCAGUGGCGAAGGCGGCUUCCUGGACCAAUACUGACACUGAAGCGCGAAAGCGUGGGGAG
rnacentral:rRNA from 1 species